GGGAAAGUGGCUCAGUGGUAGAGCGCUUUCCUUGCAUGCAGGAGGCCCUGGGUUCGAUUCCUCAGCACCA
rfam:Dipodomys ordii contig_47909, whole genome shotgun sequence.